CUUGACCGCAGCACAUCCAUUUUCCUUACAGUAUGUAGUACGCAUUCUACCUUUUUCUACAAUGAAUCCACUAGGCAGAAAUUCCUGUACAUGUCUUAUGAACAGAGAAUUUGAACCUCAAAGAGUGGCUUAAAGAGGUCAGGAGGCACCUUCAACACUUUUAUUGGAGAUCUCCUUGUCUAGAUCUUCGGAUUCUCACUCUGUCACCCGGGCUGCAGUGCAGUGGUGCGAUCUCAACUCACUGCAACCUCUACCUCCUGGGUUCAAGCAAUUCUCCUGCCUCAGCCUCUCAAGUAGCUGGAAUUACAGGAAUUACACACUAAUAGUGAAGAACAGGUGGCACCUGAAAUCAAGGAAAAUUUAUUUGUCCUCAAUGCAAAGAUGAACUAUAAAGAGCACUUUAUUGUGUUUGAAGACUGUAGGAAUGAUAAGUGAAAUGGUGAAGGAAGUGGAUAAACAAUGAUGUAAUGACUGAGCGUCAUCUUUCAACUGAAUAAGCCAGUGAGGAAAUUGGUAAAUUUGUCAAUUAUAUUUAAUUUUACAAUGUUUAAUUCUUUAUUAUUUUGAAGUGAUGUUUUUUAUUAUUAGGAAUGAUCAAUAGUAAUGCAUCCUCCAAAACUGUGGAAAGAUCAUAUUGUGCAAACUAGAGCAAAAAAUCACAUUCCUCUUGCAUGGGCAUGAAAUCUUUAUCAAAUGACAUCAGGCACUGAAGCAGCUAUCUGAUACCUUCCUCGCUUCCACCAAAUGGAAAGGUUAUUUUAGGAUUCUCUCUUUGUCUCUUAUGCUGCAAACAUAGUCACUCUCCUCAGUCUUCCUACUCACAAUAUCACUCCCUUCACAAAUAAAGGACAAAUACUUAUUCAUGGUUCCAUGAAAAGGAAUAACUACUAAGACCUUGACAUUCUUGAAAAAGCAUAUAUUUGUUGUUCUAAGUAAUGUUUAUGAUCAACGUUCUUGUGCAACCAGAUACGGUUUCUAACAGGAAGCUUAUAAAUUUUUCUUAUAAUUGCUGUCAAAACCGCAGUGAAGUGUACUACAAGUUUUGAUAAUAAAGAAUAAAGUCACAGUUCAAACUCGAUUAUAUUUUGGAAAUUCAUGUGCCUGUUACUAGAAGCAGUGGCCUUAAAUAUCUUCCCAUCCUGCCAAAUUUUUCACUUGCACUUUUUAUUAUUUAUGAAAUCAGUCUCUGCACAAUGUCAUGCAGACCUCUGCUGAUAAACUCUAAUUAAGAUUAAGACAAGCCUUUUGGAAAGGAUCCCAUCAUUAGCAAACAUGAUAAACAC